rnacentral:lncRNA from 1 species
CGUUGCGACGCCGCUCAGCGGCGGUGCCCUCCGCCUAUGGUAACUACGCUAUGUUGCUAUGGUUACCGGAUUGUUUUGUUUUGUUUACUUUCUUUCGGCUCGAUUUUGACAAUGUCUGGAUAGAAUCUGAAUAAUUACGAAAGAUAAAGACGAAAGAUGUGAUUGAUGACGUGCAAAAAUGUUGUUUGAGUGAAAAGGAAGAAUUUUGGCUAUGAAUUUAAGCAUGAACCUUGUUCGUUACGCCGGAGAGUGACAAUUUGUCGUUACGGCUCGGCUCAGGCUCGGCUCGGCUCCUGGCUCCUGGCUCCUGUUGUACGAGGCUCUGUGGUAUCGGCUCAGGCCGUUAGCGCUGGAAGAAGGAGGAGGAAUGGAGGAGAAAAUAUAGAGGACUGAGAGCCCGUGAA